rnacentral:rRNA from 1 species
GGUUGAUCCUGCCAGUGGCCAUAUGCUUCUUUCAAGGACUAAGCCAUGCAAGUGUCAGAGGAAUGCCCUGAAGCAUGGGUCUGCGAAUGGCUCAUUACAACAGCAACAAUCCAAAUGGCUGUAGGGUGGCAGCUCAAACACCUCAAGUGUGGCAUCCAUCAAGCCCAACUGGCUGGUUAGUACGUGCAUGUGUUGCUCACCUCAAACAACAUUCCAGGAUCCUUGUUGGUCCUGGAUGGAGGGGGGCAGCAACUGGCUGGGAACAAAGGCUGGUGCCUGACCAAGGCAGUUC